rnacentral:rRNA from 1 species
CCUACGGGAGGCAGCAGUGAGGAAUAUUGGUCAAUGGGCGCGAGCCUGACCCAGCGAAGUCGCGUGAAGGAUGAAUGCCCUACGGGUUGUAAACUUCUUUUAUAAGGGAAUAAAGUGAGGCACGUGUGCCUUUUUGUAUGUACUUUAUGAAUAAGGAUCGGAUAACUCCGUGCCAGCAGCCGCGGUAAUACGGAGGAUCCGAGCGUUGUCCGGAUUUAUUGGGUUGAAAGGGAGCGUAGAUGGGUUGUUAAGUCAGUUGUGAAAGUUUGCGGCUCAACCGUAAAAUUGCAAUUGAUACUGGCAGCCUUGAGUACAGUUGAGGUAGGCGGAAUUCGUGGUGUAGCGGUGACAUGCUUAGAUAUCACGAAGAACUCCGAUUGCGAAGGCAGCUUACUAAACUGCCACUGACAUUGAUGCUCGAAAGUGUGGGUAUCAAACAGGAUUAGAUACCCGGGUAGUC